rnacentral:rRNA from 1 species
GAUGAACGCUGGCGGCGUGGUUUAACACAUGCAAGUCGAACGAUGAAGGGGAGCUUGCUUCCUGGAUCAGUGGCGAACGGGUGAGUAACACGUGAGCAAUCUGCCCCUGACUCUGGGAUAAGCGCUGGAAACGGCGUCUAAUACUGGAUAUGAGCUGCGACCGCAUGGUCAGCAGUUGGAAAGAAUUUCGGUCAGGGAUGAGCUCGCGGCCUAUCAGCUUGUUGGUGAGGUAAUGGCUCACCAAGGCGUCGACGGGUAGCCGGCCUGAGAGGGUGACCGGCCACACUGGGACUGAGACACGGCCCAGACUCCUACGGGAGGCAGCAGUGGGGAAUAUUGCACAAUGGGCGCAAGCCUGAUGCAGCAACGCCGCGUGAGGGACGACGGCCUUCGGGUUGUAAACCUCUUUUAGCAGGGAAGAAGCGAAAGUGACGGUACCUGCAGAAAAAGCACCGGCUAACUACGUGCCAGCAGCCGCGGUAAUACGUAGGGUGCAAGCGUUAUCCGGAAUUAUUGGGCGUAAAGAGCUCGUAGGCGGUUUGUCGCGUCUGCUGUGAAAUCUGGGGGCUCAACCCCCAGCCUGCAGUGGGUACGGGCAGACUAGAGUGCGGUAGGGGAGAUUGGAAUUCCUGGUGUAGCGGUGGAAUGCGCAGAUAUCAGGAGGAACACCGAUGGCGAAGGCAGAUCUCUGGGCCGUAACUGACGCUGARGAGCGAAAGGGUGGGGAGCAAACAGGCUUAGAUACCCUGGUAGUCCACCCCGUAAACKUWAAAGGGRACUAGUUGUGGGGUCCAUUCCACGGAUUCCGUGACGCAGCUAACGCAUUAAGUUCCCCGCCUGGGGAGUACGGCCGCAAGGCUA